UCUUACUUUACUUUUAUAUUUGUUCUCAAUUUUUUAGAUUUGUUGGUGUUAGAAUAGAGAAUGGUGGACAUGAGGGUUGUAGCAAAGAUAUGGGGGAGUUGACCAAAGAUAAAACACCACGUCUUGGCAUGGAAUUUCAUUCAGAGGAAGUCGCACAUCAAUUCCUAUAAUGAAUAUGGAAGGAUUAUGGGGUUUGGCAUUAGAGGAGAUUACCAUAGCAAAAGUAAAAAAGAUGGUGCUAUGAUUAACAGGAAGUUUGUUUGUUGUAAGCAGGGAGAAAAAGAAAAAGAUAAACGGUACAUGAUUGUAAAUCAUCCUAAACAUGAGACAAGAACAAAGUGCAAUGCAUUUAUGUAUGUAUCUUUGGAUCAAGACUUGUCGAAGUGGAUAGUGAAAAAGUUUGAUGACAACCACAACCAUACUUUGCAUCUUCCUCAGUGCACACAUUUGAUACCAUCUCAAAGAAAGUUAUGUCAGGCUCAGGCUUUCAAUGUUGAUAUAGCUGAUGACACUGGUAUCUCUCUUAAAGCAUCACAUGAUCUCAUUAGUGCCUUAGCAGGGGAAAAAGAAAAUUUGAGAUUCACAAGAGAAGACCAAAAAAGCUAGUUGUGUGGAAAAAGACAACGAAAUUUGCAAUAUGGAGAAGCUGGGAGUUUAUUAAGAUAUUUUUAGCAACAAGUAGCUGAAAAUCCAUAUUUUUACUAUGCAAUUCAAUUGGAUGUGGAUGAGAUGAUUACUAAUGUUUUUUGGGCUGACCAUGAGAUGAUUACAAAUUAUGAACUUUUUGGUGAUGUCGUAUCAUUCGACACAACAUUUCGCACAAACAAGGAGUAUCAACCACUAGCUUUAUUUACUGGCUUUAACCACUUUAGAAAGAUAUGAUUUUUGGUGCCUCAUUAUUAUAUGAUGAAACUAUAGAUUCAUUUGAGUGGUUAUUUGAAACCUUCUUGCAUGCAAUGUCGGGGAAAAAGCCUACCAGUUUUUUCACAGACCAAGAUCAGGCAAUUACUAAGGCAAUAUUUGAAGUCAUGCUUAAGGUUUUCCAUGGAUUAUGCACUUUUCACCUAAUGCAAAAUGCUUUGUAACAUUUAGGGUACUUGUAUAAGAGUGGUUCAAAAUUUGGUAGUGAUUUCAAAGCUUGUAUUUUUAGAUGCGAGGAUGAACAUGAGUUAAUUGAAGCUUGGGAUUCUUUGCUUGAUAAAUACAACUUGUAUGAGAAUGCGUUGAUGAAGAAGACUUGAGAAAAAAGAGAGCAAUGGGCGCACGUAUACAUGAAAUACUUGUUCACUGCAGGAAUACGAAGCACCCAACUUAGUGAAAGCCUGAACGCAACAUUAAAGAGGUAUUUGCAAGCUAAUCAUAAUAUUGUUCAAUUUUUUACCUACUUCAAUCAGAUUGUUGUAGAUAAGCGGUACGAAGAAGCAAAAGCUAUAUAUAAUUCUAGACAACAAUUGCCGAGAAUGAAAUUGAACAGGUCUCCAAUUUUGAACCAAGUUGCAAAUUUGUACACCUCUCCUUUCUUUGACUUAUUCAUAAUGAGUUUGACUUGUCUCUUUCUUGUAGAGUGAAGCAAUGCCAUGAGUUAGAAGGAGAAGUUUGGUAUGUGAUUAGCUUGUAUGGUGAUGAUACAGAGUAUAUUGUGAAGGGUAAUAUGGAAGUUAAUGAGUUAGGAGGAGAAAAAAUUUGUUAAAAAAUUCAUUGCACUUGUCAAAAGUUUGAAAACAUUGGAAUUUUAUGUGGUCAUCCAAUUAAAGCACUUGAUAGAAUGAAUGUUAUGGAAAUUUCUAAGAAAUACAUAUUAGGUUGAUGGAGAUUAGAUGCCAAGAGUGGUGAAAUUAAGGAGGAAAAGUUGAAGUGGGUGAGAAUGAUCCCAAGUUAGAGACAUCAGCACGUUACAGGGAUCUUUGUCCUAGGAUGGUAAAGCUAGCAACUCAAGCAUUUGUGUAUUAGCCUGCUUAUCAAUUGGUUGAUGAAGGGAUUAAGGAACUGUGUAGAAAAGUGAAUAAAAUGUUGAUAUCAUUUGAUGAUUUGGGUGAUUGUGGUAGUGGAAGCAACAUUGAUAUGAGUUCUAAUCCUAGCUUUGCACGAGUUAAAGGCUUAAAAAAAAAAAAAGGUGGACAAAAGGGUGGGGGUAGAUUAAAACCUUGGCACGAGAAGACUAAUAAGAGGACAAAAAUUAUUUCAUAACCUACCGGCCUUAGUAAGAAAAUUGGCCAAUCAAGCAACACAUUAAUUGUUCAAAGUUCCUCUUUAUGCCGCUCACAGGAUGUUGGGAUACCUUAUUGGUCACAAUUGAUGAAUUAUGGUCACAAUCUUUUCAAGCUUGACGAUACUAACAUUGCGUGCUCAUCAAGUUACCCACAAUCUACCCUUUUAUCUUCACAACUAUUAGUUAAUCCACAAACUUCUCAAGUAUGCAAUUUAAUCUUGUAAUAUAGUUUGUUUUUAAUAAAAAAAUAAAUUGAUUCCAAUAUAUUCUCUAACACUUAUUCAUUUUUAUUUUUUUACGGGAUGUCAUUUGAUGAAGGAGAGCUCAAUCCCACGGGGGGCGAGUCAUUCUUAGAUAAUGAAACUUUUUUUAAAAUUUUGUAGUCAUUCACAACCUCCCCCACAGAAUUGAAAUGUAGUAUUUUUAUUAUAAUGGUUUUU